rnacentral:rRNA from 1 species
CGAACAGACGAGGAGCUUGCUCCUCUGACGUUAGCGGCGGACGGGUGAGUAACACGUGGAUAACCUACCUAUAAGACUGGGAUAACUUCGGGAAACCGGAGCUAAUACCGGAUAAUAUAUUGAACCGCAUGGUUCAAUAGUGAAAGACGGUUUUGCUGUCACUUAUAGAUGGAUCCGCGUCGCAUUAGCUAGUUGGUAAGGUAACGGCUUACCAAGGCAACGAUGCGUAGCCGACCUGAGAGGGUGAUCGGCCACACUGGAACUGAGACACGGUCCAGACUCCUACGGGAGGCAGCAGUAGGGAAUCUUCCGCAAUGGGCGAAAGCCUGACGGAGCAACGCCGCGUGAGUGAUGAAGGUCUUCGGAUCGUAAAACUCUGUUAUUAGGGAAGAACAAAUGUGUAAGUAACUAUGCACGUCUUGACGGUACCUAAUCAGAAAGCCACGGCUAACUACGUGCCAGCAGCCGCGGUAAUACGUAGGUGGCAAGCGUUAUCCGGAAUUAUUGGGCGUAAAGCGCGCGUAGGCGGUUUUUUAAGUCUGAUGUGAAGCCCACGGCUCAACCGUGGAGGGUCAUUGGAAACUGGAAAACUUGAGUGCAGAAGAGGAAAGUGGAAUUCCAUGUGUAGCGGUGAAAUGCGCAGAGAUAUGGAGGAACACCAGUGGCGAAGGCGACUUUCUGGUCUGCAACUGACGCUGAUGUGCGAAAGCGUGGGGAUCAAACA